GAUUAACGCUGGCGGCGUGCAUAACACAUGCGAGUCGAACGAUGAAACUCAUUAGAUUUCUUCGGAAUGAAAAUGAAUGGAUUAGUGGCGAACGGGUGAGUAACGCGUGAGUAACCUGCCUUACACAAGGGGAUAGCCUCUGGAAACGGAGAAUAAUACCCUAUGAAACCAGACAAUCGCAUGAUAAUCUGGUCAAAAUGUUUAGUGGUGUAAGAUGGACUUGCGUCUGAUUAGCUAGUUGGUGAGAUAAAAGCUCACCAAGGCAACGAUCAGUAGCCGGCUUGAGAGAGUGUACGGCCACAUUGGGACUGAGACACGGCCCAGACUCCUACGGGAGGCAGCAGUGGGGAAUUUUGCACAAUGGGGGAAACCCUGAUGCAGCGACGCCGCGUGAUUUAGAAGGCCUUCGGGUUGUAAAAAUCUUUUGUAUAGGAAGAAAAUGACAGUACUAUACGAAUAAGGUCCGGCUAAUUACGUG
rnacentral:rRNA from 1 species